UUUUCUCAUUUCUAGUUCUCAAGAACAGCUGUAGAAUGUUCUGGGAAUGCAACAUUCUGAGAUAAGGAGGGCUGGCUGGAACAGCCUGAGCUCUGUUCUGGGACCCCGCUUUACUGAAAUAAGAUAACCUUCAAUGUUUUAGCCCAGCAAAUCUCAUUGCCCCACAGCAUAAAACCAAGGUUGAGAGGCUUUCUGGGGUCCCUCAGCUGAUACAAGUGGGGUAUGCAUGGAGGACACUCCAUCUAUCCUGGGCAAAUUUCUUGAGCCUUGCAGACUGGCUUACAAUGUGUCACGGGCUUCUGUUGUCUUGCUGCCUAUCUGUAAGUAGUAAAAAGUCUCUUCAUGCAGCUUGUUGUAUGCACAGGUGUUUUCUCUCACUGGACUCAGACAAGUUGGUGACCCGCACACAAUAAACCUGCUCCACAACAAGAGGAGAAGGAAUUCCAGGUCAUAGUAGAUGAUGAUACCUGCCUGUCUGACCUUUGAGGAAGGGGAAUUUCUGAAACCUAAGGCUUCCUUGUAUUGCUCAAUUCAGUGAGAAAGAAAUCACUAAUGAUAGCAGGGUUUUGCUCUGUCGCCCCCGCUGGAGCGCAGUGGCACAAACAGAGUACAUUGCUGUCUAUCUUCUGGACUCAAGUGAUCUUCCCUCCUCAGCCUUCUGAGUAGCUGGGACUACAGAUGCAGAUAGAAAUAUUAGUUUUAUGAGAAACUAUUUCUUAAAGGAUGAAACAUUCCACAAAAUAUAUUUUAUCACAGACUAUGGGUGGAUUCCACUGGGAGAAAAGAGGAUCUAAAUGCCAGGCUCACCCCUCACAUUCUAUUCAACUGCACAGGAUAGAAUGAUACAUCCCUCUCUCACAAGAGCUCCCUGGAAACUGCAGAGGAAUCACCAUCUUCAGCAAGCUUUAUCAAGAAUGCAUUCAUGAGAUUCCCACUUUAAACAUCCAGCCAAGCACUUUUAUGUCUGUCACAGAGGCUUUAAAGGAGAGGCUGGAGAGUUCUCAUUUUCAGCACCAUCUCAGCUGUCGGUAUUUCCCAAACCUGCACUGAUGUCUGAGAAUCCACAUCAAAACUUUUGCAUUUGUCCUCAAAGAAUGUCACAACUAUUAUUCUGAAAUGCUCAUUGCAUCUAUUUCUAGGGAUGGUAAUGAUGACUCUGUACGGACUAAGAUAGGAUUAAUAACAAUGCAGAGUUGAACUCAA
rnacentral:lncRNA from 1 species